CCUACGGGAGGCUGCAGUGGGGGAUAUUGCACAAUGGGGGAAACCCUGAUGCAGCGACGCCGCGUGUGGGAAGACGGUCCUCUGGAUUGUAAACCACUGUCCCCAGGGACGAAGAUGACGGUACCUGGGGAGGAAGCUCCGGCUAACUACGUGCCAGCAGCCGCGGUAAUACGUAGGGAGCGAGCGUUGUCCGGAAUUACUGGGUGUAAAGGGAGCGUAGGCGGGACUGCUUUGGAAACUGCCCGGCUAGAGUGCUGGAGAGGUAAGCGGAAUUCCUAGUGUAGCGGUGAAAUGCGUAGAUAUUAGGAGGAACACCAGUGGCGAAGGCGGCUUACUGGACAGUAACUGACGUUGAGGCUCGAAAGCGUGGGGAGCAAACAGGAUUAGAUACCCCAGUAGUC
rnacentral:rRNA from 1 species